rfam:Cavia porcellus supercont2_32 genomic scaffold, whole genome shotgun sequence.
GCAUGUGAGGGCAACCUGGCUGUGACACGUCACCGCACUGGUCACCAGGAUUGAUUUGGCUGAUCUGGCUGGCUAGACAGAUGUCCCCUUUCCUCCCUUACCACUCCAUGUGUGUCCCUCCAAAACUGCAUGCUCAGUGGAGGAGGAAACCGUAUCCUCUGUCAAGAGCAUCCAGGGUAGAUGUGAUCCCCAAGCUCUCAAGAUUUAAUAACUGUUCAAGACUACAAUGAAGGAGAAGUUGAAAGGGAAGUCACAAAUCCAAGCAUGACUAUUUCUGAAGAAU